UUGUUUAAUUUAACUUGUUCUCAGACUUCAAUUUUCUAGGCAGGGUUGGCUAAUUCCGGCAGGCGGGGCUCCCCGCCAGGCGCCGAAUCCGGGCCGCGGUUACAAAGGGUGGGGAUUGUGCCCGGAGGCGUUGACCCAUUAAUGAUCCUUCCGCAGGUUCACCUACGGAAA
rnacentral:misc_RNA from 1 species